rnacentral:lncRNA from 1 species
GCUGCUCCCACCGCCGCGGCAACGGCCCCGGCCCACGGAGGCGGCUGGACGGACCCCCGACGGUUGGACGUACGGACUCUGCUUCGAGAGUAGGUGAGCGAGCAGUGCCGGGGCGCCCCCCAUUUCAGCGCAUCUCGGGGGCCACCUGGCCGCCCUCUGUCUCUCCCGCCCCUUAAUGCUUCUGCACCCCACCGCCUGUCCGUCUACAUUCCUGCCUCAGUUUCCGUCUGUCUCUCUGUCACUCUCGCUGUAUAGGUUAGGGGGAGACAGAUUGAGUCUCAAUUGCCCCCCUUGGCGUGGGGCUCUGCUCUGGGACCAGCACCCCCAUCCCCCAUGUGGACUCUAGUGGACUCUGCCCCCUUUAACUGUAGGGCCGCAGGUGCUCAGGCCAGAUUCCAGAACCCUGAGGGCAUUCCAGGCGGUGGGCAGCUGGGCCAGCCGUGCGGAGGUGGGCAUGACUGUAGCUUCUAGCUAAACCAGGCAUCGGUCCAGGCAUCGGUGGCGGGGAGCCAGGCCUAGGCCAGCCCGGGCCCACCCAGACUGGCCCCUAAUGAGCUCCCAAGUGGCCUGUGGGGACUUGGCCUCAGUUUUGCCAGCUGUGAACUGGGACCGUCGCUGCUAAGGUAAUUGGCAGGUGAUCUGAAGGACACCUGCCGCCUCCUGGCCUUUUCUGUGAAGUCGAACUAGGCCCAUUUCCUGGGAUGGGAAACUAAGGCCUAGAAAGAGGCCAAUGCUUCCAAUGUUUGUCCAGGGAAGUGGGGACAGAGGCAGGACAGAAUCUGUUUUCUCUGCAUCCUCACAUUUCCCAGCACCUUCUCUAUGGAGGGGGGAAGGGCUGGUGGAGGAGCAGCCCCAGGUGUAAACAGGCCGCCAGAGUUUAUUUCCUGAGCCAGUCCCAGCUCAGCUGGAGGCGAUGAACGCCUUGGGAGGCCCCAGGGGGGCCAGCCCAGUGGUGGCGGAGCUUGGACCAAUCUAGGUUUGAGCUCUGCCACCCGCAUGAUAUCUUGAACCAGUUUUUCAAUUCUGCGGAGCCUCAGUUUCCUCAUCUGUAAAACAGGAGUGGGUCGUAACUCCCCAAGUUGAGGGCUGCUGGGGGAUCAGAUGCAGGAAUACAGGCCCUGCUCAUAACCUGCCUGACUCUCGCUGUGGCUCUGCCCCAGUCACACUGGCCUCCUCCUGUUUCUCCAACACCCCAGGCGAGGUCCUCUCUCAGGGCCUUUGCAUGGGCUGUGCCCUCUGCCACUACGGCAGGUCCGAGGGCGCCAACUUUGAAACAUAACAAGCUCCCUGGAUGGGCCGGACCCAGGACCUGCACAGGCAAGGGCUGGGAGGGGCAGAGGAGGGGCCGCUCAGGGACGCUGUACCUAUGGAAACCGUGAACAAAGGGCUGUCUCCAGCCACACAAACACCUGGGUGAAUCGGGCACUGGCCAGAGGCUGGAGCAGCCUGGGAUACAGGUGGUGGGUGAGUGCCUGGACCCCUGCAGGGAAUAUGGGGCCGGGGGGGGGACUUGAACCCUGCUCCAAUGGUGGGGUGGCUCUGCAGACGGGUGCAGGUCUGAGGCCCCGCGGUACGGCCCCUCCCACUGUGUGGCCUUGGACCGACGGUCAGGUGCCCCCAGAGCCUCAGUUUCCUCAUCCCCGUUCCCCCAGGGGUCAGCCCAGGUGGGUGAGGGGUCUUUUGAUUGCUUGACAAUUCAGUAUGGUGGGUUCCGGAGGCCUCAGUGUCCCUGUCUGUCCAAUGGGGCCACGAAAGGGUGCCUUGAGGACAAAACUCCAGCCGUUGACAGGGGAACACUCCUCCCAGAGAGACGUCAACGCUAAAAAAUGACUCACACUUGCCCAGGUACAGCUCAGGUGUUACAGACGGGGAGCAGGGCAAGGAGGCAGAGCGAGAGGCAGGAACGGCCCAGUUCCACAGCAUGCCUGCCCCUUCCCAGCAUCUCCCGACACCCCUCAGCAGAUGACCUCCCUGGAAUCACACCCGCUCGAGCUUUGACGCAGGGACCUCUGGCAGAGUUCUUGGGAUCUUGUAAAUCCCCAGCUUCUAGGCCUCAGUUUCCCCAUCUGUCCAAUGGGGCUGGUCAUCUCCUUUUUCUUGUGGGGCUGAGAUAACUGUGGGGAGGGAGGGUGCUUUGAGGGGUGGGGGAGAUUCAACAAGAUAUUGUUAAAAGCCCGAGGAGGGGAUUACAGGACACAGUACUUCUAGAAGCUUCCUAAGGCUUCGAUCCUUCCCCUCUGGGGUGGGCUCUGGGAGAGACGAGACUUGAACCCCAAAUGUGCCAUUGACUAGGAUGAGGAAAGGAUUGCACUAGGUUAAAGGCUGGGUUCAAAUUCUGAUUCUGCCACAUCACUGCUUUAUAAACAGGCAAGCUCCUGACCCUCUGUGACUCAGUUUCCUUAUAACCAAAAACUUGCAGGUCCAUCUAGAGAAUUUCCCAGCCUGGGCAACAUGGUGAAACCCUGUCUCUACUUAAAACAAAGAAAAAAAAAUUAGCCAGGUGUGGUGUCGCAGGCCUGUAGUCCCAGCCACUCUGGAGGCUGAGGUGGGAGGAUCACCUGAGCCCAGGGAGGUUGAGGCUGCAGUGAGCCGAGCUCAUGCCACUGCACUUCAGCCUGGGCGACAGGAGUGAAACCCUGUCUCAAAGAAAAAGAAGAGAAUUGGCUGGGCGCCGUGGCUCACGCCUGUAAUCCCAGCACUUUGGGAGGCUGAGGUGGCCGGAUCACCUGAGGUCAGGAAUUCGAGACCAGCCUGGCCAAGAGGGCAAAACCCUGUCUCUACUAAAAAUACAAAAAUGAGGCGGGCGUGGUGGUGGGUGCCUGUAAUCCAGCUACUCAGGAGGCUGAGGCAGGAGAAACACUUAAACCCAAGAGGCAGAGGUUGCAGUGAGCCGAGAUUGCACCACUGCUCUCCAGCCUGGGUUGACAGAGUGUGAGACUCCAUCUC